UACGGGGGGAGCAAGCGUUGUUCGGAUUUACUGGGCGUAAAGGGCGGGUAGGCGGCCACCGCAAGUCAGUUGUGAAAUCUCUGGGCUUAACCCAGAAAGGUCAACUGAUACUGCGGGGCUAGAGUGCAGAAGGGGCAACUGGAAUUCUCGGUGUAGCGGUGAAAUGCGUAGAUAUCGAGAGGAACACCUGCGGCGAAGGCGGCUGACUGGACACAUAUUGACGCUGAGGCUCGAAAGCAUGGGGAGCAAACAGG
rnacentral:rRNA from 1 species